GAUCAUGGAAACACCUGUUUCAAAAGCAGCAAUUCAAACAGACAACGGCUUUUU
rnacentral:ribozyme from 1 species